CAAGGGCAGAGGGGAGAUUCCUGGCGUGCAUCUACUUAAUUUGAAGAAGAACAUCACCUGUCUGUAAUCCACCUGCGAAGACACUGCUGAGGUCAGACGAGAGUGCAUCCUCAAAGGUCUGUGUGUACCUAAAUGAAGAUCCAGAGAAGCUGGUGAGGGAGU